UCCUUUCAACUGCACAUGGCUUCCCCCAGAUCCCCCGCCCGCCCUGGGCUCAUGCAUGCUGUCUUCAGCUGUAUGUUAUCUCAAAUAAUUACCCUCGCUUCUGGCUGUCCCUGGCGACUUCUGCUGCUAAAAAAGCUACUCAUUGUCGGAGACUGAAGAGGGAUUUCCAGCCUGCUUCUUGUGGCCGGGCAACGGCUCUUAAUUAACCACUCAGGUAUUGUGGGAGCUCCCAGCCCGGCUCGCUUCCAUAUGGCGCGAACAUGUCCGCAGUGAUAAGCACGGGAGGAAAUACUGUAUCAAAAGGGAGCUCGCACAACCGAAAGCUUGUGCAAAUUAUUUUUAAUGAUUCUUCUCUGAAAUGCAGACUGCCCAAUGGGAUGGAGUUUCCAGUGUGAUGUCAUUGGAAACAUUGCUCCUCAGAGCAGUGAAAUUAGCCCGAUAGAAAAAGAACACAGAGCCUCACUUUCCAAUCAGGAGCCUUGUUCGCAACAGCCACAAGGAAGCCACACAAAGACCCAUCAAUAUAUGAUCAAAACUGUCCUACGGGAAGAGGAUGGAAUAUUACUCAACCUUUAAAAGCAAGUAAAUUCUGAAACAGCCUACAACAUGGAUCAUGUCAGGUUAAUUCAAGGCUAUCACGACUGUCAUCAUAUGAAACCAGUGAGCAAAAGACAGCGACCUAAUGACUGCAUAGUAAAUGCCAGAGGAGUCCUUGAGGCAUCUGUGAUCUGAGAGAGGGAGAAAUCAGGCUGACAAAUACUGACUACACAGGAGGAGCUUCCCCAGGGGCAGCAGAAUGGCCAAGCUGCUGAUUUCGUCGAAGGUUUUCAAUUAGUCAUUUGACUGAACACAUCUGUGCUGGCAUCCACCCAGAGCUGGACGGCCCCGCUAUUACCAGUUUACACCCGCUGAACCGUGGCCAUAAACUCGGAUGGGAAUAAACCUAAAUUGGCCUUUUAGAUAUGGCUGAAAAGUUGAACCAUUGCAGUGUUUUAUAGCGGUGUCAGGAAGGUGUGAACUUUUCCACCUUCAGGCCUAGGAACCUGCUGCGAUAUUCCACUCCGUGCAGAUGACUCACUUAUGGGCUGGCUCUAAUAUCUGUUUACCAAUUUGUGUCCAUGACUUAAUCGGCCUGCUAAGUGGGUAAGACUGCACCGUCAGCUGUGGUGGUUUUUAGUUUAACUGUGUUGGUAAACAAAGCCGAGAGGCUCCCUUGAUGCUAUUGGGCAGUAGAUGGAUCCAGCCUCCUGCACCUUUUACAGAAAUGAACACUGCUUUGUAGCAGACCAGAGAAUUCCCUAAGGCUGGAGGUGCCACCCGACUGCAGUAGGACAGAGAAUCUGUUACUAAUAUGCAGAAGCAGAAGCAGGUGACCAGGCGACUGUGGUGGCACGGCUGUCUCCUUGAUGCUGGGCUCCUGAGUGGAUUGCUGAUAUUGUUGAAAGCUGAGGAUCAAGAGAACCAACCCUACACUGUCCUCUGCACUCCCAAGGGACAUCAGGCAAGGUGGCUGAGGACAGUUGUGCAGCUUCUGAGGAGUGACUGGGCAAUAUUUCCCAUAGUUCCUGCAGCAGUGACCUUCUCCCAGGGCUUUAGCUUUUGGUAGUCUCACUGUGGCCUCAUGGAUGCCUGUGUUCACCCUCAGGAGACAUGAUCAACACCAAUGGUUCCCAGCGAACCUCAAAGGCUGUCUUCUGUGGGAGGACUCAUUUCCGAUGGGCCCCUCCCCUCCCUUAUAUGCCAUAUCAUUUCCUAUUUCCUGUUGCCCCUUAUCUCCUCCAGUCUGAGUGCAGGUUGGAAUUUGGUUCAACAGCCAUUCCACUCUCUCUUGUGGCAUGCUUGUACCUUUCCCCAUUGCUGUCUGAAGUCCUCAGACUCUCCAUCAUCUCCAUGGUGAUCUUUCUCUCCAUCACUUCCUCACCCAGUCCUGUGUUCCGGCUUCAUUGCCAUGCCACAUAACACAUGGGAGUCCCCACGCGCAUGCCUUUAGUCUCUAUAAAAGGAGCUCCAGGACCAGAGUACAGUUAUCCUGCCCACCUCAGAGAAAAGGAAAAUACAGUGUAAGUAGAUGAGGUGGAGAAAACUGCUCUAGGUCACACCCACAGCAGGCAAGCGCAGGGAUUCGAAUGCAAGCAAUAGGCUACCCGGCUUGGGCAAGUUCCUUAAACCCGGGGUCUGAAACAGCAAACUGAGGUCAGGAUGGCUUUCAUCAGCUGGGCUGGCUUUAUGUUGGCACAUUUUCCACAGUGGUGAAUAUGUGUGUG
rnacentral:sRNA from 1 species